GAUGAACGCUGGCGGCGUGCUUAACACAUGCAAGUGGUGCGACGAACCAGGCUUCGGCCUGGGGCGAAGCCGCGAACGGGUGAGUAACACGUGGGCAAUCUGCCCCUUUGAUCGGGACAACCCGGGGAAACCCGGGCUAAUACCGAAUUAGGUGGCGACUCAUGAGAGUCGUCACGAAAGGAAGCUUCGGCCUCCGCGAAGGGAUGAGCCCGCGGCCCAUUAGCUUGUUGGUGGGGUAAUGGCCUAACAAGGCAACGAUGGGUAGCUGGUCUGAGAGGACGAUCAGCCACACUGGGACUGAGACACGGCCCAGACUCCUACGGGAGGCUGCAGUGGGAAUCGUGCGCAAUGAGCGACAGCUUGACGCAUCAACGCCGCGUGAGGGAAGAAGGCUUUCGGGUCGUAAACCUCUUUCAGUUAGGACGAAGCUUUAUUGGUUAAUAACCAAUUGGAGUGACGGUACUUUCAGAAGAAGCCCCGGCUAACUACGUGCCAGCAGCCGCGGUAA
rnacentral:rRNA from 1 species